AUGGACGCGGUGCCCGUCGGACACCUGGGCUACGACCAGGUGCUGUCCAUCCUGCGCCUCCUUCCAGCCGAGGCCGUGCUCUCCUUCGCCGCCACCUGCCGCGCCUUUCGCGAUUGGGCCUCCUCCGACGUGCUCUGGGAGGCGCUCUGCCGACGCGACUGGGGGGCACGCGCCGCCGCCGCGGCGCUCGCGGACUGGCGGUGCGGCGUGCCAUGGCGCCGCCUCUACGCCGAGGUCGCCCGACUAAGCGCCCUGCAGGCGCGCCGGCUCCAGGUGAAGGGCACCUCGCCACGGCCCCGUGCGUCGCACUCCAUCAACCUCGUGGCCGGCUGGCUAGUAGUCUUCGGCGGUGGCUGCGAGGGAGGUCGUCAUCUUGAUGAUAUCUGGGCAACAUAUGUUGGAAAUAGAGCUGGAACUAGAUCAUCCAAUGCACUUACCUGGCAGCAAUUGGCCUCUGGUACUCCAAGUGGUCGUUUUGGUCAUUCAUGCAUUCUCGUUGGUGAUGCACUAGUCCUGUUUGGCGGGAUUAAUGACCGUGGGCUUCGUUUGGAUGACACAUGGAUAGGCCAAAUAACCUGCGAAGAACCUUGCAGGAUGAGGAUCUCAUGGAGACUGCUGGAGAUAGGCCCCCUGGCACCAUCUCCUCGUGGGGCCCAUGCAGCCUGCUGCAUAGAUGAUAAGUUCAUUGUGAUUCACGGUGGGAUAGGGGUGCAUGGAAGCCGACUUGGUGAUACAUGGCUUCUUGAUCUCUCUGAUGGACUUCAAUCUGGCAGUUGGCGCCGAAUGGGGGAUACUGGACCUUUGCCUUCAGCUCGUUCUGGCCACACCUUAACUUGGAUUGGUGAUAGGCGCAUGGUUCUUUUUGGUGGUAGAGGAUCAGAAUAUGAGGUGCUUAGUGAUGUCUGGCUGUUUGAUAUUGGUGAUCAUUUGCUGCAAUGGAAAGAGCAAAAGUACGAUUUGUCUAGUAUUCUUGGUGAAUUGCCUUCUCCCCGGGCUGGGCAUUCAGCAACAUUUCUCUUUGGUGGCAAGAUCCUUGUAUAUGGUGGGGAGGACAAAGAAAGACGGCGGAUGGAUGAUUUCUGGAUCUUAGAUAUACCAGCUUUACUUCAGUUUGAGUCAGGUAACAGGAAAGUGGCAAAGAGGAUGUGGAAAAAACUAAGGAUAGAUGGCCAAUCCCCGAAUUGCCGGUCCUUCCAUGGGGCAUGUGUAGAUACUUCUGGUUACUGUGUGUAUGUUUUUGGUGGAAUGGUUGAUGCACUUUUGCAUCCUGCAGAAUCCUUGGGCUUGAGGUUUGAUGGGCAACUGUAUCAAGUGGAGCUUGUGCUGCAUCUCUAG
rnacentral:rRNA from 1 species